CCCUUAGAUGUUCUGGGCCGCACGCGCGCUACACUGAUGCAUUCAACGAGUUUUUCCUGGUCCGAGAGGAAUGGGUAACCUUUUGAAAGUGCAUCGUGCUAGGGAUAGACUAUUGCAAUUAUUGGUCUUCAACGAGGAAUUCCUAGUAGACGUAGUUCAUCAGACUGCAUCGAUUACGUCCCUGCCCUUUGUACACACCGCCCGUCGCUCCUACCGAUUGGAUGAUCCGGUGAGCUAUUCGGACCUUCGCUUCGUCGAUUUUCGGCUUUGUGAGGGAAGGUCUCGCGAACCUUAUCAUCUAGAGGAAGGGGAAGUCGUAACA
rnacentral:rRNA from 1 species